rnacentral:rRNA from 1 species
UUUGACCUCGGAUCAGGUAGGAAUACCCGCUGAACUUAAGCAUAUCAAUAAGCGGAGGAAAAGAAACCAACAGGGAUUGCCCUAGUAACGGCGAGUGAAGCGGCAACAGCUCAAAUUUGAAAGCUGGCUCCGGCCCGCGUUGUAAUUUGCAGAGGAUGCUUCUGGCAAGGUGCCUUCCGAGUUCCCUGGAACGGGACGCCAUAGAGGGUGAGAGCCCCGUAUGGAUGGACACCAAGCCUGUGUGAAGCUCCUUCGACGAGUCGAGUAGUUUGGGAAUGCUGCUCAAAAUGGGAGGUAAAUCUCUUCUAAAGCUAAAUACCGGCCAGAGACCGAUAGCGCACAAGUAGAGUGAUCGAAAGAUGAAAAGCACCUUGAAAAGGGGGUUAAACAGUACGUGAAAUUGUUGAAAGGGAAGCGCUUGUGACCAGACUUGUGCCGGGCGGCUCAUCAGGGGUUCUCCCCUGUGCACUCCGCCCGGCUCAGGCCAGCAUCGGUUCUCGCGGGGGGAUAAGAACAGUGGGAAUGUGGCCCCCUCUCGGGGGGGUGUUAUAACCCACUGUACGAUACCCUCGUGGGGACCGAGGUUCGCGCUCCGCAAGGAUGCUGGCGUAAUGGUCAUCAGCGACCCGUCUUGAAACACGGACCAAGGAGUCGUCCAUUAGAGCGAGCGUUUGGGUGUAAAACCCGCACGCGUAAUGAAAGUGAACGCAGGUGAGAGCUUCGGCGCAUCAUCGACCGAUCCUGAUGUCUUCGGAUGGAUUUGAGUAAGAGUUUUAACGGACGGACCCGAAAGACAGUGAACUAUGCUUGUAUAGGGUGAAGCCAGAGGAAACUCUGGUGGAGGCUCGCAGCGGUUCUGACGUGCAAAUCGAUCGUCAAAUAUGAGCAUGGGGGCGAAAGACUAAUCGAACUGUCUAGUAGCUGGUUACCGCCGAAGUUU